rnacentral:rRNA from 1 species
GAGUUUGAUCCUGGCUCAGGAUGAACGCGGGCUACAGGCUUAACACAUGCAAGUCGAGGGGAAACGACGGGGAAGCUUGCUUCCCCGGGCGUCGACCGGCGCACGGGUGAGUAACGCGUAUCCAACCUGCCUCUGACUGAGGGAUAACCCGUCGAAAGUCGGCCUAAUACCUCAUGGCAUCGUCUGCGGGCAUCCAACGACGAUUAAAGAUUUCAUCGGUCAGGGAUGGGGAUGCGUCUGAUUAGUUAGUUGGCGGGGUAACGGCCCACCAAGGCUACGAUCAGUAGGGGUUCUGAGAGGAAGGUCCCCCACAUUGGAACUGAGACACGGUCCAAACUCCUACGGGAGGCAGCAGUGAGGAAUAUUGGUCAAUGGGCGGGAGCCUGAACCAGCCAAGUAGCGUGCAGGAUGACGGCCCUAUGGGUUGUAAACUGCUUUUAUGCGGGGAUAAAGUGAGGGACGUGUCCUUCAUUGCAGGUACCGCACGAAUAAGGACCGGCUAAUUCCGUGCCAGCAGCCGCGGUAAUACGGAAGGUCCGGGCGUUAUCCGGAUUUAUUGGGUUUAAAGGGAGCGUAGGCCGUGGAUUAAGCGUGUUGUGAAAUGCAGGUGCUCAACGUCUGCACUGCAGCGCGAACUGGUUCACUUGAGUGUGCGCAACGCAGGCGGAAUUCGUCGUGUAGCGGUGAAAUGCUUAGAUAUGACGAAGAACUCCGAUUGCGAAGGCAGCUUGCGGGAGCACAACUGACGCUGAAGCUCGAAAGUGCGGGUAUCGAACAGGAUUAGAUACCCUGGUAGUCCGCACGGUAAACGAUGGAUGCCCGUUGUCAGGCUGUUUCAGCCUGGUGACCAAGCGAAAGCAUUAAGCAUCCCACCUGGGGAGUACGCCGGCAACGGUGAAACUCAAAGGAAUUGACGGGGGCCCGCACAAGCGGAGGAACAUGUGGUUUAAUUCGAUGAUACGCGAGGAACCUUACCCGGGCUUGAAUUGCAGACGAAGGCUUCAGAGAUGAAGAGUCCCUUCGGGGCGUCUGUGAAGGUGCUGCAUGGUUGUCGUCAGCUCGUGCCGUGAGGUGUCGGCUUAAGUGCUAUAACGAGCGCAACCCCUUUCUUCAGUUGCCAUCAGGUGAUGCUGGGCACUCUGUAGACACUGCCACCGCAAGGUGUGAGGAAGGUGGGGAUGACGUCAAAAUCAGCACGGCCCUUACGUCCGGGGCUACACACGUGUUACGAAUGGCCGGUACAGAGAGUUGAUUUUGUGCAAACACGAAUCUAAUCCUUAAAUCCGGUCCCGGUUUCGGACUGGGGUUCUGCGAACCCGGACCCCGCGAAAGCUGGAAUUUCGCUAGUGAUUCGGCGCUUCGGCCGUGGCGCGGUGAAUGACGUUUCCCGG